rnacentral:lncRNA from 1 species
CCAUUUGUAGAAAAGAUACCCCAGUUUCUUUCUGAUAUCGGUCCAGGUCUUUUGUCUUCAUUGAACAUCUCGUAAAUAAAGGUGUUAAUGGGAUUUUUCGGUUGACUAGGUGGGCCAGUAUCAUUUGAAACACGCCGAAUCAGGUUAUUAUUAAAAGUUUCGGCAUUUUCCUUAGUAGCAUCGGGCUCAUUGGCACCACCAUCCCAAGGCCAACCAGUUUCGGUCACAACAAUUGGGAUAUCUGAAAAGUUGAAGGCCGCCGAAUCAGGUUAUUAUUAAAUGUUUCGGCAUUUUCCUUAGUAGCAUCAGGCUCAUUGACACCACCAUCCCAUGGCCAACCAGUCUCGGUCACAACAAUUGGGAUAUCCGAAAAGUUGAGGGCUGCUAUAGAGUUGUAUGCAGCAUCAACUAAAGC